rnacentral:lncRNA from 1 species
AAUUGCAUUUUAAUUUAUAAUUUUUUUAUAAACUUCUAUACUUCUACCACCAAAGAAAAAAUUAGUCAACUCGCAAAAAAUGUAAUGUAUGUCGUGUCAUUUAUAUACAAAUUAUUAAUUAAAUAAAAAGUUAACAAAUUCCGGUUCUCCGCAAAACGCCGGUCACGUAUCACUCGGGGAAUAGACUUGGUAAUCAAACACUAUUAAAAAAAAUAGUAAAAUAAUAAAUAAAUAAAAUAAAAAAAGCUACUAGUAGCAAGUACGAGUAAGAAACUAGACCACAAACAUUCAAUGAACCAAUAAUGAUCUACCCAAAAUGCAAGAAACCAAUAAUGUGGUCUAGUUUCUUACAUCAAUUAAUCAUUAUUAUCUUAUCUUAAAUAUCUAAACCAAAGUCAACACCCUUCUAAUUACAAACCAUUAAAAUUUCAUCAAAACCAUUAACCAUUUCUCUUUCCCCUACCAUUAUCUUAAUGUUUGUUCACCAGCGCAUGCUAAAAAAAAAAACACAUUUUUCUUCAUCAGAAAUAAAAAAAUAAAUCAUUUAAUAUUUAUUUUUAAGUAAUUAAAAACAUUUAAUAAGAUGCACUUAAUACCCUCAAAUUCAUUUAUGAACACACAUUAAAAAACUUUUUUUUUCUCUCAUCACAACAAGUAUUAGGUAUCACAGUUACUUUUUUUUUCUGAUUUUUUUCUAUUUUGAUCAAUUAACUAAGUAACUAACAAACAAACCAUUUUAAAAUUAAUAGAUAAUAAUAGCAAUAAUAAGAAGAAACACCUAAAAAGGUAUUGUAAUCCCGCAAACCCUUUUCCUUAUCCAACUUGUUUAACAAAACAAAGCUGUUCCUCCGUCUUUUUUCCAUCAACCCAAGUAACUAAAUUUCUUUGACCCUCUCUUGCUUCUCUCUCUAAAUUCUUACACCCUCUCUCUCUCUUCCUUUUUCUCUUAUUCCCAUUUUUCCAAUUCUCUCACGUUGAGAAACCCUCACUAAGCAACCUUUUUUACUCUUUCUAUAUUUGUUUUUGCAAGAACAAGACAAAGCUUCUCCCUUUAAAUUAUCCGUCAGAUCCCCCCUCUCUAUUUCUCUUUCUCUCUCACAACGACACCAUUGCUUGGGUGCAUAAUAAUAUAAAAGUCCAAAACGGUAUCGUAUUUUAAAUAAAACGUAAUAAAUGAGGUGUAAGAAACACUUACCGGACCUCACCAGCACCAUCGGCGUGUGCGCUUCGUGCCUCCGCGAACGCCUCCAGCCUCUCCUCGCAGCCCAGGCCCAAGCCCAGGCCCAAUCAGAACGUUCCACCACCAAUUCCAACGUGGAUAAUAAUCAUCGUCGAAGAAAGCCC